AUUGAACGCUGGCGGCAGGCCUAAUACAUGCAAGUCGAACGGUAACAUAAGAGAAGCUUGCUUUUCUUGAUGACGAGUGGCGGACGGGUGAGUAAGAUUUGGGAAACUACCUGAUAGAGGGGGACAACAGUUGGAAACGACUGCUAAUACCGCAUACAGCCUCAGGGUGAAAGAAGCGAUUCGCUAUCAGAUGUGCCCAAACGGGAUUAGCUAGUAGGUGAGGUAAAGGCUCACCUAGGCGACGAUCUCUAGCUGGUCUGAGAGGAUGAUCAGCCACAGUUGGGACUGAGACACGGCCCAGACUCCUACGGGAGGCAGCAGGUAGGGAAUAUUGCACAAUGGAAGGAAACUCUGAUGCAGCCAUGCCGCGUGUGUGAAGGAAGGCCGUUCGGGUUAGUAAAGCUACUUUCGGGAGGGGAGGAAAAAAUGACGUUACCCUCAGAAGAAGCACCGGCUAACUCCGUG
rnacentral:rRNA from 1 species